rnacentral:rRNA from 1 species
CGCUGGCGGCGUGCUUAACACAUGCAAGUCGAACAGGGAGCUUGCUCCCCUGAUUAGUGGCGAACGGGUGAGUAAACACGUGAGUACCUGCCCUUGACUCUGGGAUAAGCACUGGAAACGGUGUCUAAUACCGGAUAGGGGCAUUCGAAAGAAUUUCGGUCAAGGAUGGACUCGCGGCCUAUCAGCUUGUUGGUGAGGUAAUGGUCACCAAGGCGCGACGGGUAGCCGGCCUGAGAGGGUGACCGGCCACAUUGGGACUGAGACACGGCCCAAACUCCUACGGGAGGCAGCAGUGGGGAAUAUUGCACAAUGGGCGAAAGCCUGAUGCAGCGACGCCGCGUGAGGGAUGACGGCCUUCGGGUUGUAAACCUCUUUCAGUAGGGAAGAACAAGUGACGGUACCUGCAGAAGAAGCGCCGGCUAACUACGUGCCAGCAGCCGCGGUAAUACGUAGGGCGCAAGCGUUAUCCGGAAUUAUUGGGCGUAAAGAGCUCGUAGGCGGUUUGUCGCGUCUGCCGUGAAGUCCGGGGCUCAACUCCGGAUCUGCGGUGGGUACGGGCAGAUUAGAGUGAUGUAGGGGAGACUGGAAUUCCUGGUGUAGCGGUGAAAUGCGCAGAUAUCAGGAGGAACACCGAUGGCGAAGGCAGGUCUCUGGGCAUAACUGACGCUGAGGAGCGAAAGCAUGGGGAGCGAACAGGAUUAGAUACCCUGGUAGUCCAUGCCGUAAACGUUGGGCACAAGGUGUGGGGGACUUCCAUUUUCCGCGCCGUAGCUAACGCAUUAAGUGCCCCGCCUGGGGAGUACGGCCGCAAGGCUAAAACUCAAAGGAAUUGACGGGGGCCCGCACAAGCGGCGGAGCAUGCGGAUUAAUUCGAUGCAACGCGAAGAACCUUACCAAGGCUUGACAUGACCGGAAAUACUGAACAGGUGCCCCGCGCUCGGUUCACAGGUGGUGCAUGGUUGUCGUCAGCUCGUGUCGUGAGAUGUUGGGUUAAGUCCCGCAACGAGCGCAACCCUCGUUCCAUGUUGCCCGCGUAAUGCGGGGACUCAUGGGAGACUGCCGGGGUCAACUCGGAGGAAGGUGGGGACGACGUCAAAUCAUCAUGCCCUUAUGUCUUGGGCUUCACGCAUGCUACAAUGGCCGGUACAAAGGGUUGCGAUACUGUGAGGUGGAGCUAAUCCCAAAGCCGGUCUCAGUUCGGAUUGGGGUCUGCAACUCGACCCCAUGAAGUCGGAGUCGCUAGUAAUCGCAGAUCAGAACGCUGCGGUGAAUACGUUCCCGGGCCUUGUACACACCUGACA